ensembl:processed_transcript Gm20616 predicted gene 20616
GAAGAGAAGAACAUAAGGGGCAGAGAAGCAAAGGGGUGAUGUUGAAAAGCUGAGGCUCAGAGGGAGCUGGAGGAGGAAGACAAGGAACGCAGAGGCCUGAAAAGGGAGGAAGAAAUUGGAGGCAUCUGGCCAGCAGGUGUGCGCUCUGUGGGUUCACCCAGGUCCUCACGCAGAGAGCUAUCUGAGGGGCUGCAAGGGAGGAAAAGCAGGGGGCUAAAGAAGCAAAAGGCUGAAAAAAAAAAAAGCGAGGCUGAAAGAGAAAACCGCCAAAGCCCACAGGCCUCCAGACUUGGAUGGGAACUAAACCACUUCUCCAUCCUGCUGCCUAUAAACUGUGUGACGUGUCAGCCUUCAGAAUCACAUGAGCCAAUUAACUCCUCAGCAUAAGAACCUUGAAUCUCAUUGGUUUGGUUUCCCCAGAGAUCCUGGAUGUAUCUGCUGCUAGGCAUAUGGAUAUGGAUAUCCUGAUAUGUGAUAUCAUCUACAGGGGCAGAAAGCCUCUACUGGUCUCAGGAGACAAGACCUUCAAGUUAAACAUGGUACCCUUGUUGGUUUUUUUCGGUUACUGCCAACCCUCAAAGCAAACAGUCUAAGAAGAGCUUUCUUUGUCAGAAAAGCUAUUCUUAGUAUCUCUUAGA